CCUAACACAUGCAAGUCGAACGGUAACAGGAAGAAGCUCGCUUCUCUGCUGACGAGUGGCGGACGGGUGAGUAAUGUCUGGGAAACUGCCUGAUGGAGGGGGAUAACUACUGGAAACGGUAGCUAAUACCGCAUAACGUCGCAAGACCAAAGAGGGGGACCUUCGGGCCUCUUGCCAUCGGAUGUGCCCAGAUGGGAUUAGCUAGUAGGUGGGGUAACGGCUCACCUAGGCGACGAUCCCUAGCUGGUCUGAGAGGAUGACCAGCCACACUGGAACUGAGACACGGUCCAGACUCCUACGGGAGGCAGCAGUGGGGAAUAUUGCACAAUGGGCGCAAGCCUGAUGCAGCCAUGCCGCGUGUAUGAAGAAGGCCUUCGGGU
rnacentral:rRNA from 1 species